GUGGGAAAAAACACACAAACUGGAAUGUAACAAGACCUAACCAGUAACAAGACCUCGACAAGGACACAAACUCAACACUAGGGACUCUGAAACUGAAAUAUGCAAAGGCUAUGGCGCGGAUGGGUUGUAGGACAUGAAACCAAUAUGGCACUAGACUUAUGGGACGAACACAAGGACACUUCAAACUAAGGGUAGAUGUGAACCUAACGAUAUGUCUGAAGCUUUGAUUACCACUUCAGGAGAACAAGUGUGGCCCGAUCUUCCGAAACUUUCUGGUAACUAUCGAUUUGGUGGAAACGAGAGACAUAUCAAUCCAGCUUGCGAACAACACAAUUCGAAACCCUGCAAUUCUUUUUAUUUUUUUUUGAUAUUUUUCUUUUACUAAGGAGCACUCAAGAAGUAACCACAGGAAAUUUGAGCUUAAACAAGUGAAAGACGUGGCCUGUGGAAUUUUUUGAAGAUUGUG
rnacentral:lncRNA from 1 species